AUUAAUCUCCUGCUCCAGGAAUACAGGUAUGCCUUGCUUGGCGAUUUAAUUUGCUUGUGCGGCCUGAUUCAUAAUUAGGUAUAUCCCUGCUGAUUUUGUGUUCAGUUCAAUUGCAGAAAAACGGGAAAGUCUAAAGCAUCACUUAUUUUGGAACAUACGGGCUAUAUGGCACUUCAUCUAUCUCGUGAUAUUGUGGCUGACCUAGUUGUUUGUACAUCCUUCAUGUUGAAUUUUUGAGACCAUAAGUUGGUUGUAUUAGUUGUGUUGGCCUCAAAUGGAACAGAAAAAGGCAGAUGCAGAAAAAGGCUAAUGAACCAUCUCCCUAACAUUCAUUCUACUUUAAAAAAUUGUACUGUGAGAAAUCCUGGAUAAUUGAUUCAGACAUCAACCACCAGACACCUUAUACCAUCAUUAAAUUUGGCCUGACAUUUCCAGGCACAUACUGUAUCGAAGCACUAUAUAUAUAACCACAC
rnacentral:lncRNA from 1 species